AGCCAACAAGUAGGCCUUCAGAGACAUCCUCCUUGCAGAAGGUAUUUAAUAUCUGUUCAACCCUGAGUAAGUUAAGAUGACCUAUCUUAGAAGAUAACCAACUUAGUGACUCCUGAUAUUGUUACAGGAUCUGCUUUGACAGGAAUUAAAGCCUGAGUUCUGAAAAUGUUCCUGUCCAAAGGAAGAACAAGAACAAAAAAAUGGAACAGAGACUGAAGGAAGUGUCAACCUGGGACUGCCCCUCCUUGGUAAACAUCAUGUCUGCAGACACCAAACCCAACACUGUUAUCUUGGUCAAGAGGCACUUUUUGGACAGGAACCAAGAGUGGCAGUUCCUGGGGAGUUCCAGCCAGCAACUGACCAAAGCAGAGGAGGAUGCUUGGAGCCAACAAUCAGACUAAACUCAGGGA